AUCCUUUGGAGCCAAAGACUCGAACAGACAUGCGAGACCUCUACCAACUGAAGGUUUCGUGAGCGCACUCCUUUGCCAAGAUCUUGGUGAAUAGUCUUUCACUGUGCAAUUUUAUCUUAGAAAUUGUUUUACGUUUGAUCAUGAUUGUGCUUGGCUGGAUGUUUUUUGUUGGACUUGUGUGUUACAUGGGCACGUUUCCAGAGUUGAUGCCUCCAACUCUGAAGUGGCAGGAGAGGUGGCCUGUUCAGGAGAGCAAAACACAACUGAGGAGGCGGGCUUUAGGUGAAGAUCUGCUGCAGAACCAUGUGGAAGGGAUAUAAAUAUCCCCCAGGAGGGACUCCAGUGGAAGUAAGCAAGGAUGAUCCUGGUGAAGUAAUGCAGCUGUGAAGCUCACCUGACCAGCUGUACAGUUCCUGUUGUUGGUUUCACAUAAACCACCUAAAUUAAUGAGUAAGAAUGCUCAGCAUCCAAUCCAUGAAUACAGAAUUUAUUCUACUUUGUACUUCAAAGUCACAGGAUGACAUCCAUAUGAUAGUUAUAAAUUCUACUCUACAUUUUCAAGUUCUCAAUCCAUAGAUUAGGACAAGUCACUUUAUUGCUGGCAACAUUCAUGGAAGGUCCAGGUUUCUCAUAAAAAGACUAAGUUUGAUUGGGAGCAGGGCAGUGCCCUACUCACAGAUCAGCAGAAGAAUUACAGAAAUCAAGAGACAACCUUUUUUUUCCUUUCAAAGUAGCAAAGGAACAAUAAAAGAUUGGCUGACUGGUGAGUGGCCCCACAUUAGAGUGCAUAGCUCAUCAGGAUCAAGGCUGGCAUCUGUGAACAGUUAACUUCAUAAGAGCACAAGUGGGCAUUAUAUCAUCUGCAUUACAGAUUUCACCCUGGAAAAUAUCUGAAAAUAUUUUAUGCUCAAAUGACAGCCUGCAAAUGACAGUAUGCAUUCCUUCUCCUUGAGUACCCAAGUAUAAAUCUAAAAUGAUAAGGGGGCUUCUUCAGUCUGAAGGCAGGAAAUCCUUGCAGCAGAGCAGCUCUAGAAUUUCACAAAAAUAAAAGCAGCAGCUAACGCCUCUUCA